CCCUUAGAUGUUCUGGGCCGCACGCGUGCUACACUGAGUGUCUGAGAUACGAGUCUGCCUGGUCCGGCAAGGUCUAGGUAAUCGCUAAAAGACACAUCAUGCUUGGGAUAGAUUAUUGCAAAUAUUAAUCUUGAACGAGGAAUUCCCAGUAAGCGCAAGUCAACAGCUUGCGUUGAUUACGUCCCUGCCCUUUGUACACACCGCCCGUCGCUACUACUGAUUGGAUGUUUAAGCGAGGUUCUCGAACUGCUAGCGACUUAGCUUCGGUGAGGUCGCAGUGUGGGAAGUGAACCUAGCUUUGGUGUCUAGAGGAAGUAAAAGUCGUAACA
rnacentral:rRNA from 1 species